ensembl:lncRNA
CCGAGUGUGCGUUAAGUAGUGUUUGCGUUCCUCUGUGCUCAUUGAUGAGGGUCAGAAGGUCACGGGGUUAAUUGCAGUUUUAUACACUAAGUGGACAAUUAGAGGGCAUUUUAGUCGGCUUAGCUUUGAGUUUCAGGUAUCAGUGAGAGGGGGGUUGGGUUUGGCGUUCAGGGGUCAAAGAAGAUUAGCACAAAUUGCCAUUUUCACACCCUGUUCGAGGUGCAUUGGGAAAAUCCAUUAUUGAAGGUGGCGGUAAUGUACAAUUUAGCACAGAAGAAGACGAGAAGGGGGGAAUGAAGGAAGAAGAGUGUUAAUGGUGUUUACUGCUCAUCUGGAGAGAUGCCGCCAUCUUGCUGCAGGAGGUUAGAAGAUGAUGACGACUUCCUGUGUGUGUGUGUGUUGUGUGUGUCAGUUUAAGUCGUUAUCAGUGUGCGUGAACAUCACCAGCAGAAUUUACUCUCAUGUGCGACUGUCUUUGGCAUCCAGUAAUGCCUCCACACCUGUACUCGGUCAGAGCUGUGCCAUAGCCACGCCCACAAACAGGUGUCUACGUACAUCACAACGCCUCUGUCUCCUGUAACGCACGCCGGUGCAGUGGAACGUCCUGGUGAGCAACGACGUCCUCAUGUCUGCCGUCUCAGCGUUCACGUCCAUGAACCCACCCCACCCGUGUGUCACUCGGGUAGAUCCUUCGUUUGUCUGGCACUGUUACACCAACGGGAAUCUCAGGAGUCGCAGCAUCUCUGCAUGCUCCUAAUCGGUCUCUCCUGCAAUCAAGGUCAUCCAGAGUUGAAGCUGGAGGAUUAAAAGCUCUAUCCACUAGGGGGCAAACCAGCGUGGAAUCAUUCCUCACCGGCAUCGACCUACUUUGACC